UACGUAGGGGGCUAGCGUUGUCCGGAUUUAUUGGGCGUAAAGCGCGUGUAGGCGGCCAGCUAGGUCGCUGUGAAAACUCGAGGCUCAACCUCGAGAUGUCGGCGGAAACCAGUUGGCUAGAGUCCGGAAGAGGAGAGUGGAAUUCCCGGUGUAGCGGUGAAAUGCGCAGAUAUCGGGAAGAACACCCGUGGCGAAGGCGGCUCUCUGGGACGGUACUGGACGCUGAGGCAC
rnacentral:rRNA from 1 species